UUGAACGCUGUCGGAAUGCUUUACACAUGCAAGUCGAGCGGCAGCGCGGGGGCAACCCUGGCGGCGAGCGGCGAACGGGUGAGUAACAUAUCGGAACGUACCCAGACGUGGGGGAUAACACAUCGAAAGAUGUGCUAAUACCGCAUACGACCUGAGGGUGAAAGGGGGGGAUCGCAAGACCUCUCGCGUUUGGAGCGGCCGAUAUCGGAUUAGCUAGUUGGUGAGGUAAAGGCUCACCAAGGCGACGAUCCGUAGCUGGUCUGAGAGGACGACCAGCCACACUGGAACUGAGACACGGUCCAGACUCCUACGGGAGGCAGCAGGGGGGAAUUUUGGACAAUGGGGGCAACCCUGAUCCAGCCAUUCCGCGUGAGUGAAGAAGGCCUUCGGGUUGUAAAACUCUUUCGGCAGGGACGAAACGGUGAGCUCUAACAUAGCUUGCUAAUGACGGUACCUGAAGAAGAAGCACCGGCUAACUACGU
rnacentral:rRNA from 1 species